AGGACUGUUUCUGUACAAUAGCGUGUGCAGGCAGCAACUUUCUUGCUGGAGAGUUGACUUCAUACAGUCUCCUCAGGAAUUGGUAGGGACCUGUUCCCUUAGCUGUUACUUCCACUCUUUUUCACUUGAGUCAUUGCUAUCAGCUUUGAGUACCAGGUUCUUUUGUUUUUUUUGGUUCUCUUCUUUCAAUGUUUAUCUUUCUCUUCAUCUUGUAGGUCUUCAAAUUUUUAACCAGCUCUUCUAUGGUCAGCUCCUGCAGGUCCUUUGAUUCAGUAAUAACAUUCACCUUGCUUCCCAAUGGCUGGAUCCCAACCUGGAACUUUGUGAUCUCAAGGUCUUGUAAAUGUGUAAUAGGUUCCUUAUCUGGUUAUGGAUGGUAAGUUUGUUAGAUCAUCAAAAUACAAAUUAAAGUACUUAUGCCCAAGGUACUUGUAACCUAUCAAUUUCCCCCUUUUUAAUGAUGACAAACUUAGAAUUGAUAUUCCCCC
rnacentral:lncRNA from 1 species